GAACAAAUACAUUUAUACAGGUUUGGAACAACUUGAGGGUGUGUAAAUAAUGACAUUUUUAUUUUUGGGUGAAUUAUCCCUUUAAUAUCUUUAUUAACAAUAUUAACAUCUCAAUGGCAUUUUCUGUAAAUUUGCAACAAACAAAUGUAGCUACAGUUUAUAUUUGAUUACAAGGUUAGAGAACAUUUUCAACUCAGCCUCGUUAAAAAGUGCUUAUUUUAAAAUAUGACAAUCUACUGGGUGUUUACAGGAGACGAGAGGCGCUGAUUGGGCCAUGGUAAAUCGACGCGUAAAUCCACCAAUCACAGCGUGCUUUUCUCGUGACGUAGGAACAUUUGAAAUUGACGAACAGCGCGAAUGGUAGUUGAAGAAAUUGGCGCAAAAUGUCCCUGGUCUGAUUGUCUUUUUGACGGAAAAAGCGAGUACGGACUCGUUCACAAACAGAGUCGCGGCAGAUACAGAGUUGUGAUGGAGGAUGUUUUACCCGCUCGGACAGUUUGUGGCCCAAACAACAGAACUGUCUCCUGGUCAACGGAACUCUGCCUUCAACAAUAAAUACUGGAAUAAUCAGACGGCCUACUUAAAUAUGGACACUGAUGAUGCAACAAAAAGUCUUCAUUUACAACAAAGGUACUUUGGGGCUGACAGACAGCCAUUGUGAAGGACACAAUCUGGCAAAAAUUUACCUGCAGAAGUGAAUGGGAAGAUAUGGGCUCUGAGGAAAAACUCUACACACAGACGCUCUACACACAUAGAUGGCUCAAUGCUGCUAACUGGCAGAGCAGCUGGAAAACUAAAACACAAGAAAAGAAGAACAUUAAUACGGACGACUGUAUUAUUUUUCUUCAAGGACCAGGUCAAGCAAAGACAAUGUUGAGCACUCAGAGCAAACACAGCAGUCAGACGAAGGAUUACACACUGGACUUUAGAGUUCUUCAACAUGUGAUGUUGGACAUUUACUGUUUCUAAAGCCAAUAAUUUAUGUGGAUGCCAUUUAUAGACCUGUUAGAUUUUGUUUUAUUUUUGAGAUGAAUAAAAUUGUAUGUUUUAACAAUGUUAUAGCUAAGCUUUUUCUUUCUUUCUUUUUUCUUUUUUGAAUAUUUAGGAGAACAUUCUGGGAACAAAAAUAAAACUUCCUGUUAAAUAACUAUAAGAAUGUUAGGGGAUAAUGUUCUAAUGUUAUGACUAAACAUUUAUAGAAGGUCAUCGCAAAACGUUUUUAGAGUGUUUUGUAGAGAAUGUUAUCUUACCUUUUUAGAAGAACAUUCUAAGAACAAAAAUAAAAUUUCCCACUACAAACUUUAUAAAAACAUUGGGAAAUAA